rnacentral:rRNA from 1 species
UACGUAGGGGGCAAGCGUUGUCCGGAUUUAUUGGGCGUAAAGAGCGUGUAGGCGGCCAGACAGGUCAGCUGUGAAAACUCGAGGCUCAACCUCGAGACGUCGGUUGAAACCGUCUGGCUAGAGUCCGGAAGAGGAGAGUGGAAUUCCCGGUGUAGCGGUGAAAUGACGCAGAUAUCGGGAAGAACACCCGUGGCGAAGGCGGCUCUCUGGGACGGUACUGACGCUGAGACGCGAAAGCG